AGAGAAGACUUCCUUCUUCAAGAAAAUUUGCUUGGAGAUUCAUGUUGGUCUGGACAAGCCUGUUCCAGACUAAUUGUGACCUCUAUGCAAAUAAGUCUUCCCUUUUAAAUAAGUAAAAAAGAAGACUUCCUUUAUCAAGAUCUCCUUUAUCAAGACCUCCUUUAUCAAGACUUCCCACAUCAAGACCUCCCACAUCAAGACUUGGCGACCUCUUAUGUGUUUGGCGACCUCUUAUGUGUUUGGCGACCUCAUAUUCUUGGCGACCUUUUAUGUUCUU